CCUACGGGGUGCAGCGGUAGGGAAUAUUGCUCAAUGGGGGAAACCCUGAAGCAGCAACGCCGCGUGGAGGAUGAAGGUUUUCGGAUUGUAAACUCCUUUUGUUAGAGAAGAUAAUGACGGUAUCUACCGAAUACGCACCGGCUAACUCCGUGCCAGCAGCCGCGGUAAUACGGAGGGUGCAAGCGUUACUCGGAAUCACUGGGCGUAAAGAGCGCGUAGGCGGGAUAGCAAGUCAGAUGUGAAAUCCUAUGGCUUAACCAUAGAACUGCAUUUGAAACUGUUAUUCUAGAGUAUGGGAGAGGUAGGUGGAAUUCUUGGUGUAGGGGUAAAAUCCGUAGAGAUCAAGAGGAAUACUCAUUGCGAAGGCGACCUGCUGGAACAUAACUGACGCUGAUGCGCGAAAGCGUGGGGAGCAAACAGGAUUAGAUACCCGGGUAGUC
rnacentral:rRNA from 1 species